rnacentral:misc_RNA from 1 species
ACAAAUUAAAUUCCAACACACGUCUUUCCCAGAGAGUCAGCAAGGAGCUAGCUAAGGCUGUGGAAAUCUACUGCCGUGGUUCGUUCAGUGUUGGCUAUUUGGGGUUUGACUAAUUAACACUUACAUUUAUCUAAAGAGACAAACAAUGGAUUAAUAAGAGUUCAAAUAAUGAUCUUUUAAUUAAAAA